GAUGAACGCUGGCGGCGUGCUUAACACAUGCAAGUCGAACGCUGAAGCCUGGUGCUUGCACUGGGUGGAUGAGUGGCGAACGGGUGAGUAACACGUGAGUAACCUGCCCUUGACUUCGGGAUAAGCCCGGGAAACUGGGUCUAAUACUGGAUAUGACUUCCUACCGCAUGGUGGGGGGUGGAAAGAUUUAUCGGUUGGGGAUGGACUCGCGGCCUAUCAGUUUGUUGGUGGGGUAAUGGCCUACCAAGACGUCGACGGGUAGCCGGCCUGAGAGGGUGACCGGCCACACUGGGACUGAGACACGGCCCAGACUCCUACGGGAGGCAGCAGUGGGGAAUAUUGCACAAUGGGCGCAAGCCUGAUGCAGCGACGCCGCGUGAGGGAUGACGGCCUUCGGGUUGUAAACCUCUUUCAGUAGGGAAGCAGCCCUUUUAGGGUGACGGUACCUGCAGAAGAAGCGCCGGCUAACUACGUGCCAGCAGCCGCGGUAAUACGUAGGGCGCAAGCGUUAUCCGGAAUUAUUGGGCGUAAAGCGCGCGCAGGUGGUUUAAUAAGUCUGAUGUGAAAGCCCACGGCUCAACCGUGGAGGGUCAUUGGAAACUGUUAAACUUGAGUGCGGAGAGAAAAUUGGAAUUCCUACUGUAGCGGUGAAAUGCGUAGACAUUAGGAGGAACACCCCUGCCGAAAGGCGGCUUUUUGGCCU
rnacentral:rRNA from 1 species